AUGUACAUAGCUGCCGCAGGUGUUGACGGUGGAGGUCAUCAAAAACCAUCAGCAAAAACACCACCAAGUCAAUGAUGCAAGAGGAAGUUUUGCCAUGCAAUAGUCGACCGCUAACGCCCUUCUCCAUCAAUUUUGUGUAAAGAGUACUUCCAGAGACGCAAGAAAAACAAGAAUACAAUCCAAAAAGCUUCAGCAUUGACUGUAAAUCAAGUGAAUUUAAAUUUGAAAAUUACAACGAAUCCAUUAAUUUUGCUCGUAAGGAUUCCACUGGCUUAACGGAGGCAAAUGGGCUGGCCUGACAAGAAUCCCCAAAAAGUCAAACAGAUUCAGAUCAGUUUUUCGGCGACUACUGACGAUGCCGGCGUGUUAAAUCCAUCGAUUUUCACAAGAAAGUAAACAUCACGAAAAUUCAGCAGCGUCAUGGCCAACCUGCCGAUUAAGCCAUCUCUAUUCGCAGUGGAAGUGUUUGUGGAUCAAGCGAUCUCUGCGUUGUCAACAAUGCGAACGCAAUGUCAUUAGGCCGGAGUACCAACCAAGGCUCUUGUUUUGCAAAAGCGCGAGAAGAUCAGUGUAAGUGCGAUGCAGCGGCUACUGCUGCCGCUGAGGCUGACACCGCCUACGAAUGCCGGCUGAGAAGGAAAUUGUUGUUACAUUAUAGAACCUCCUUAAUGACUGGAGUCAUAAGUCAUUGGUAAGCCUCAAAAAAUAAAUUAUAAAUAAAAUAAAUACAAAACAAUCUCAGCAGUUUUGUAUUUACUAUUUUAGA